AGAGUUUGAUCCUGGCUCAGGAUGAACGCCGGCGGUGUGCCUAAUACAUGCAAGUCGAACGCGUUGGCCCAACUGAUUGAACGUGCUUGCACGGACUUGACGUUGGUUUACCAGCGAGUGGCGGACGGGUGAGUAACACGUAGGUAACCUGCCCCAAAGCGGGGGAUAACAUUUGGAAACAGAUGCUAAUACCGCAUAACAAUUUGAAUCGCAUGAUUCAAAUUUAAAAGAUGGCUUCGGCUAUCACUUUGGGAUGGACCUGCGGCGCAUUAGCUUGUUGGUAGGGUAACGGCCUACCAAGGCUGUGAUGCGUAGCCGAGUUGAGAGACUGAUCGGCCACAAUGGAACUGAGACACGGUCCAUACUCCUACGGGAGGCAGCAGUAGGGAAUCUUCCACAAUGGGCGCAAGCCUGAUGGAGCAACACCGCGUGAGUGAAGAAGGGUUUCGGCUCGUAAAGCUCUGUUGUUAGAGAAGAACGUGCGUGAGAGCAACUGUUCACGCAGUGACGGUAUCUAACCAGAAAGUCACGGCUAACUACGUGCCAGCAGCCGCGGUAAUACGUAGGUGGCAAGCGUUAUCCGGAUUUAUUGGGCGUAAAGCGAGCGCAGGCGGUUUGAUAAGUCUGAUGUGAAAGCCUUUGGCUUAACCAAAGAAGUGCAUCGGAAACUGUCAGACUUGAGUGCAGAAGAGGACAGUGGAACUCCAUGUGUAGCGGUGGAAUGCGUAGAUAUAUGGAAGAACACCAGUGGCGAAGGCGGCUGUCUGGUCUGCAACUGACGCUGAGGCUCGAAAGCAUGGGUAGCGAACAGGAUUAGAUACCCUGGUAGUCCAUGCCGU
rnacentral:rRNA from 1 species